AUUGGUUACUGGUUCGCUUCGGUUAAUGUAAUGUGACUCGUUUUGUUUUACAUUUAAUGUGAUUUAUUCAAUAUUCCGAGUCAGUUCUUGAACUUUUCACAAUACAUUUAUAUUUUAGAACCGAAGUAGUAGCUUAAACCAAUAAAUUAUUCAAAGUUUUUAUUAUGAAUGAACCGCACAUUUAGCAUCACUAAUCAAAUACAAUGUAAAUAAGAUAUUAAUCGUUUAGAAAAAGUUAUUAUUACUACAGUAGUUUUAAAUAUGGAUGUGGACUUGCUACGACCGGGCACAGUGCCUAUUUCUCCCGAUACUAUACUCUGGUUCGAGUUUUUACUGGACCAAAAACUCCUAAAGGAACAUCUUCAAUACCCUAACCCAGAGCCAUCAGCUACUGAUUUGAUAGUAGAAUUCCUGUCAGUGGACACAAGUAAUAGUGUUUGGAAUGGGCGAGCUAGUGAACGCGUUCUGGAGCCAGAUGCACCACCCACCCCACCUUCCUCACGCAGUCCCGAACAACCAGAAAUUACGAAGAAGCAACUUGCCCUUAAAAUACUUGCACUUAAAAUUGCAUCGACACUUAACUGGAAUUUAGAUAUGUUUGAGGCAAAACUGACACCGGUUAUUCAACAGCAACUGGUGCAAGAUUUUGUCUUUAUGGCCACAGAUGGUGCUUUUUCAAUACCACCACAGGACAUUUCUAUGAAUAUGAUCAACAAGUCUCAUAUACAGUUUGCAUUGACUCUGUACCACCGCUGGAUCUUGAGAUUUCCAGUAAAAGCUGCUCUCCAAGCAAAGUCUGCAAAGCUCCCUUUCAUACACCACCCAGGAAUCCCUCUGGAAAAUGGCUAUACCCAUGUGAAUUCAAACUUUGAUAAAAUUUUGAGAAUGAAUGAAAAUUCACGCAGCCAAAGUAUUAAAUACCUGGAGGAAGUCAUUGCAUAUUACGAGUCUCAAACCAACAAUCAAGAGAGCAAACAAAUUAAAGUUCCAAUCAUGGAAACUUUUGUCCACCUGACUGAAGAUACAGAUGUCAUGGCCCACAACUGGGAUGCUGGUAAUGUUUAUAUUAGCCAGUAUGAACUUCUAAUGCAAAUCCAUUUUGAUCUAUGCUACAACUACUUUUUCUAUGGUCAACAUGAGAAAGCUAAGAAACACAUAUUGGGUUGUAGAAAAAACCUAAAAUUGCUAGAAAAUGAAGUUAACAAUAAAGGUUAUGGCAAGUACAAUAAAAUACCAUGGGGAAACUUAAACUAUGCAAGCAUGUCAGAAGAAGACAUUUUGGGAUACAUAAGAGCUCUCAAUUUAGGUCAUGAGUUGUUAGACGAGGAUAGGUCUCUGUUACAAAGGCUGCAGGAGUCAGUAGCAAAUGACUACGUAGGCAUCAUUGCUGUAUUGCAAGCAGACAAUCUGUCCAGAGAAAUACCAAUGAUCCACAGGCAAGUGGCAGAGCUAGAUGUACAAGCUGCUGCCUCCACCGGCGCUAUAUCCAUGCCCAAGGACCUCGUGAUCCGCGUCUCAGCAUUAAACGCUAUUAGGUAUGCUCUUGAAGGAGGAUUGCCGUCCACACACCCAGAUUUUCUAAACAAAUUCAAAACCGUCGGGAUCAAAUUUAUUGAUGUACUUUUUUGGGCAUUAGGUCCAGUUUUGAUGUCUUCCCGUUUAACAAAAGAUGACUGGGAAAAAUUGAGAAUGUUUUUUCUACACUUAGCCACCUCGUCUCAAUGUAGAUUGCCGGUAGAUAGAAUAGACGAGUACUUAAAGAAACACGUAGGUAGUCGUGCCACAGAAAUCCGAGCAAAGCUAAUAAGCGACGAACAUUUGGAUGCUAUUAUAAAGGAUCAGAUCAAUAGUGACGAUGAAAAUAUGCACAUACCGCGCGAAUUACUGGCCGACGACUGGGAGGCGACCGACUUCAAGUACAAGCAUGCGCCGGACUUCGAAUACAAGGCAGCGCCCGAGCUGGAGAUGGGUCGGCUGAAGAAACGACUCGUGGAGGCGUCCAGCGCCGACGAUGUGCGCAUGUGUCUAGUGAAGUUGGCCAUGAUGUCGCCUUCCUCGCCGCUGUGGAAGCUGAGCCCCUACUGGAAACCGAUCGGGAACUUGAGCGUCCUGUUGGCGUCGCUGCCGCGGGGGUUCCUGCAGGACUUCGGCGUGGUGGUGUCGGGAGCGGCACGCGCCCGCGCGGAGGCGGGCAGCGCGCGCGCAGCGCUGUCGCUGCUGUCCGUGGUGGAGGGCGAGGCGCGCAGCCAAAUGGCGGGCGGCAACGACCCCACUCUGUACCGGCUGUGCCGCGUGCUGGCGUGGGAGGUGCUGCUGCUGCAGGUCAACCUGUUGCUGGCCGAGUGGCCUCACCACCGGCUCAACGUCACGCUGCUGGCCAACAAAAGCAAGGCCGCCAUCGCCGCCGCCAACUCCAACGAUGCAAUCGGCCCAAGAUCGCAGGUAGUGGUAGCGGCGUGGCUGUGCCUGCUGAACGUGUGCGAGUGGGAGCCGGGCUCCGCGGCGCAGGCGGCGGGCUCGGGCGCGGCCGACGUGGCUGCCGCGCUGUGCGCCGCCUGUGCCGAGCUGCAGCGCGGCAAGGGCGUGCGCAAGUUCCCGCGACCGCUGUGGGACCACGUUCUGAACACGUUCAACAACAACUUAAACGGUCCCCUGAAGCGUUCGAUACACAUGAGCAGCCACCACCACCACCACGGGCACCCCAACCACGCCAACCACCACGGCCAGCUGGAGAACCGCAGCCCCUACCACGUGGUGCUGCAGGCCUUGCGCGAGCCCCUCGCCAUCAGCGUCAUGCUGUCGCUCCUCGCACGGAUAUACAACGUGCUUGUGGACGACUCCUCGCUCGAACUGGUUGUGGAGUACACCAACCUCUGGCCUAACAACAUUUCGAAUGUCAACAACUAUAACCCGAAGCAUAUUUUAGAGUCGCUGACUGAGUUGCUCGAGAAGAGUUUGAAGCUGUACCCGUACAAUACUUCUUGGCUCCGGCUAUACGGCGACGCAGAAAUGGCGGCAGGCCGGCACGGCGCCGCGCUCCGCCGCUACUUGUGUGCGCUUGCGGCCGGCUCGUGGCACUUCGCGAAGCGCGCGCCGGACGAGGGCGGCGUGGCGCGGCGCGCGGCGCGCUGCUGCCAGGCACUGGCUGCGCCCACGCAGGCCGCCGCGCUGUGCCAGCUGCCCGACGAACCCGACUACACACCCGCGUUCAAGUGUCUCGCUGAAAAGACCGGUAACGCGGCCGAUUCCAUGGACGCAUACUAUGGCUGUCUGUGGGACGGCACGCUGCUCGAGGUGGCGGUGGCGCUACACGCUCGGCGGGGCGAGGGCGGGCGUCGCGCGCGCGCGGUCACCGCCGCGGGCGCGCUCGAACUCAACGCUAACAACAGCGACGACAUCCAGCGAGAGGCCGCCGCCAUUCGCCGCGCGCGCCUGCUGCGCGCGCUCACCAACCAGUACGUCGCGUAGACCCACCGCUACACCUUAGACAUUAUCGUAACCUUGAUGGGCCUGAGAAGUCGCAGCGUCAAUAGAAAACCUGCCCUUUGUGAGAUGAGGUGUGAAGCCGGCGCCCGCCGGCUCGACUCGAGUUGUCUGCUCGUCAUGUAUGACCUUUGCAACAUAAUGCUGAAUUAAAUUUCACCCUAGACUUUAUUGAUUUUCAGAUAUUACUGGGACUUGUACUUUACAUUGAGGCGCAGACAAAUACCACAGAUGAAAAAAGGCCCGUCGUCAACAGCACUAGCAGCAACGACACGGAGCAGGCCACCCCGCGCUACGUGCUACCAGCGCUUCGCCGAGCGGUGCUUAUUCUGCAGACGGGCAACAAAACCGCCCUAAGAUCUGAUCCACUAUAUAACUCUCUAAAAUACAUGGAAUACGACGACACUGGCGCCUUGUUGAACGAAGUUUUUAUGUAUAGCUUGAAAGACGUGGCCUCUUUUUUCCAAGUAUAUCUCGGCACUAAAGUAUGUUAUAAUUCUUGCUAGAGUUAAUAAAAUGUAAUAAUAAA